UCCUACGGGACGCAGCAGUGAGGAAUAUUGGUCAAUGGGCGAGAGCCUGAACCAGCCAAGUCGCGUGAAGGAUGACGGCCCUACGGGUUGUAAACUUCUUUUGUCAGGGAGCAAUUGGGUCCACGCGUGGGCUUAGCGAGAGUACCUGAAGAAAAAGCAUCGGCUAACUCCGUGCCAGCAGCCGCGGUAAUACGGAGGAUGUGAGCGUUAUCCGGAUUUAUUGGGUUUAAAGGGUGCGUAGGCGGAAUUUCAAGUCAGCGGUAAAAAUUCUGGGCUCAACCCCUUCGUGCCGUU
rnacentral:rRNA from 1 species